CCUACGGGAGGCAGCAGUGAGGAAUAUUGGUCAAUGGCCGUAAGGCUGAACCAGCCAAGUCGCGUGAAGCAAGAAGGAUCUAUGGUUUGUAAACUUCUUUUAUAGGGGAAUAAAGGUAUCCACGUGUGGAUAUUUGAAUGUACCCUAUGAAUAAGAAUCGGCUAACUCCGUGCCAGCAGCCGCGGUAAUACGGAGGAAGCGAGCGUUAUCCGGAUUGAUUGGGUUUAAAGGGGGCGGAGGUUGCUUUUUAAGUCAGCGGUGAAAGUUUGUGGCUCAACCAUAAAAUUGCCGUUGAAAAUGGAAGACUUGAGUGUAUUUGAGGUAGGCGGAAUGCGUGGUGUAGCGGUGAAAUGCAUAGAUAUCACGCAGAACUCCGAUUGCGAAGGCAGCUUACUAAGCCAUAACUGACACUGAAGCACGAAAGCGUGGGGAUCAAACAGGAUUAGAUACCCCUGUAGUC
rnacentral:rRNA from 1 species